rnacentral:rRNA from 1 species
AGUGAACGCUGGCGGUAUGCCUAACACAUGCAAGUCGAACGGCCGCACAGUAAGUUCUUGCUCUUACGGUUGGCGACUGGCGGACGGGUGACGCAUACAUCGCCUUCUACUUUUUCGUGGGUGUUUACGUAGGUAAACUUACGCUAAUACCGCAUACGACCUACGGUUUAAUGCAUUGGUUCUUCUCACUUUUCGUGUUUGUUUUAGCCGUUGUCGGAUGAGCUAGUUGGCUGGGUAAAGUCCCACCAAGGCGACGCUCCGUAGCUGGUCUGAGAGGAUGAUCAGCGACACUGGAACUGAGACACGGUACAGACUCCUACGGGAGGCAGCAGUGGGGAAUAUUGGACAAUGGGCGAAAGCAUGAUAGAGCAAGACCGCGUGAGUGAAGAAGGAGUUCGGGUUGUAAAGCCCUUUUGUUGGGAAAGAAAAGAAGCAGAAGAAAAAAAAGAGGUAGUGACGGUACCAAAAGAAAAAGCAACGGCUAACUACGUG